UACGUACGAGGCGAGCGUUAUCCGGAAUUACUGGGCGUAAAGCGCGCGCAGGUGGCCCGUUAAGUCAGACGUGAAAUCUCCCGGCCCAACUGGGAGGGGUCGUUUGAGACUGGCAGGCUUGAGGACAGCAGAGGUAGGUGGAAUUCCUGGUGUAGUGGUGAAAUGCGUAGAGAUCAGGAGGAACACCGGUGGCGAAGGCGGCCUACUGGGCUGUCACUGACGCUGAGGCGCGAAAGCUCGGGGAGCGAACGGG
rnacentral:rRNA from 1 species